CGGACGGGUGAGUAACACGUGGAUAACCUACCUAUAAGACUGGGAUAACUUCGGGAAACCGGAGCUAAUACCGGAUAAUAUAUUGAACCGCAUGGUUCAAUAGUGAAAGACGGUUUUGCUGUCACUUGUAGAUGGAUCCGCGCCGCAUUAGCUAGUUGGCAAGGUAACGGCUUACCAAGGCAACGAUGCGUAGCCGACCUGAGAGGGUGAUCGGCCACACUGGAACUGAGACACGGUCCAGACUCCUACGGGAGGCAGCAGCC
rnacentral:rRNA from 1 species